rnacentral:rRNA from 1 species
AUUGAACGCUGGCGGCAUGCCUUACACAUGCAAGUCGAACGGUAACGCGGGGCAACCUGGCGACGAGUGGCGAACGGGUGAGUAAUGUAUCGGAACGUGCCCAGUUGUGGGGGAUAACUGCUCGAAAGAGCAGCUAAUACCGCAUACGACCUGAGGGUGAAAGCGGGGGAUCGCCAGACCUCGCGCAAUUGGAGCGGCCGAUAUCAGAUUAGGUAGGUGGUGGGGUAAAGGCUCACCAAGCGAACGGUCUGUAGCUAGGCUGAGAGGACGACCAGCCACACUGGGAGUGAGACACGGCCCAGGCUCCUACGGGAGGCAGCAGUGGGGAAUUUUGGACAAUGGACGCAAGUCUGAUCCAGCCAUGCCGCGUGCGGGAAGAAGGCCUUCGGGUUGUAAACCGCUUUUGUCAGGGAAGAAACGCUCUGGGUUAAUACCUCGGGGUAAUGACGGUACCUGAAGAAUAAGCACCGGCUAACUACGUGCCAGCCGCCGCCGUAACAC